UACGAAGGGGGCUAGCGUUGUUUCGGAUUACUGGGCGUAAAGCGCACGUAGGCGGUUUGUUAAGUCAGGGGUGAAAUCCCGGAGCUCAACUCCGGAACUGCCUUUGAUACUGGCAAGCUAGAGUCCGGAAGAGGUAAGUGGAACUCCUAGUGUAGAGGUGGAAUUCGUAGAUAUUAGGAAGAACACCAGUGGCGAAGGCGGGUCGCUGGGCCGAUACUGACGCUGAGGAGCGAAAGCGUGGGGAGCGAACAGGAUUAGAACCCGAG
rnacentral:rRNA from 1 species